GAUGAACGCUGGCGGCGUGCCUAAUACAUGCAAGUCGAGCGAACAGACGAGGAGCUUGCUCCUCUGACUUUAGCGGCGGACGGGUGAGUAACACGUGGAGAACCUACCUAUAAGACUGGGAUAACUUCGUGAAACCGGAGCUAAUACCGGAUAAUAUUUUGAACCGCAUGGUUCAAUAGUUAAAGACGGUUUUGCUGUCACUUAUAGAUGGAUCCGCUCCGCAUUAGCUAGUUGGUAAGGUAACGGCUUACCAAGGCAACGAUGCGUAGCCGACCUGAGAGGGUGAUCGGCCACACUGGAACUGAGACACGGUCCAGACUCCUACGGGAGGCAGCAGUAGGGAAUCUUCCGCAAUGGGCGAAAGCCUGACGGAGCAACGCCGCGUGAGUGAUGAAGGUCUUCGGAUCGUAAAACUCUGUUAUUAGGGAAGAACAAAUGUGUAAGUAACUAUGCACGUCUUGACGGUACCUAAUCAGAAAGCCACGGCUAACUCCGUG
rnacentral:rRNA from 1 species